rnacentral:rRNA from 1 species
AUUGAACGCUGGCGGAAUGCUUUACACAUGCAAGUCGAACGGCAGCACGGGGGCAACCCUGGUGGCGAGUGGCGAACGGGUGAGUAAUACAUCGGAACGUGCCCAAUCGUGGGGGAUAACGUAGCGAAAGCUACGCUAAUACCGCAUACGAUCUACGGAUGAAAGCGGGGGAUCGCAAGACCUCGCGCGAAUGGAGCGGCCGAUGGCAGAUUAGGUAGUUGGUGGGGUAAAGGCUCACCAAGCCGACGAUCUGUAGCUGGUCUGAGAGGACGACCAGCCACACUGGGACUGAGACACGGCCCAGACUCCUACGGGAGGCAGCAGUGGGGAAUUUUGGACAAUGGGCGCAAGCCUGAUCCAGCCAUUCCGCGUGCAGGAUGAAGGCCUC